rnacentral:rRNA from 1 species
CCCUUAGAUGUUCUGGGCCGCACGCGCGCUACACUGAUGCAGUCAACGAGUUUCGCCCUGCUUCGAUAGAGGUGGGUAAUCUUCUCAAACUGCAUCGUGCUGGGGAUAGAUUAUUGCAAUUUUUAAUCUUCAACGAGGAAUUCCUAGUAAGCGCAAGUCAUCAGCUUGCGCUGAUUACGUCCCUGCCCUUUGUACACACCGCCCGUCGCACCUACCGAUUGAAUGUUUCGGUGAAGAUUCCGGAUAGGACUUUUUUGAUUUAUUUCAAUUUUGUCUUAAAAGCUAUCUAAACCUCAACAUUUAGAGGAAGGUGAAGUCGUAACA